rnacentral:rRNA from 1 species
UACGUAGGGACCAAGCGUUGUCGGGAAUCAUUGGGCGUAAAGAGCGUGUAGGCGGCUUGUUAAGUCUUGCGUGAAAUCUCGGGGCUCAACCCCGAGCGGUCGUGAGAAACUGGCAGGCUAGAGUGCGGGAGAGGAGAGUGGAAUUCCUGGUGUAGCGGUGAAAUGCGCAGAUAUCAGGAAGAACACCCGUGGCGAAAGCGGCUCUCUGGAACGGUACUGACGCUGAGACGCGAAAGCGUGGGGAGCGAACAGG